GGGGACGACCUGGCUUCGACGCAGUUCACGAACCCAAAGAUGCAUGCCGAGUACACAGUUUAAUCUCGUAAAACUUCAACUGUUACUUUAUAGUUGCAAACGAUGAACUAUACGCGGUAGCUGCCUAAAAAACAGCUUAAGCCCUUCUACCUAUUGUGCUUGGACGGUAGAAUAGAAGGUCGACUAAACAAGAUCGCUGCUCACGCCGCCCUAGCACGAGCAGUUAAAAACAACUGGGCUCGCUCUUCAUAACCGCUCUGAUCCGGGUGUGUAGAGUUAAAUAAAAGAUCACCGAUAAGCAUGUAGACCCUUUGACGUAGGUCUUGCGGACGCGGGUUCAAUUCCCGCCGUCUCCACCA
rfam:Gammaproteobacteria bacterium 39-13 SCNpilot_cont_1000_p_scaffold_386, whole genome shotgun sequence.